AGUUGUUUUUUAAAGUAUGUAUUAAGUAUGGAGAAAAAAUUGCCCGCUAUCCAGAAUUAUUAGAAGGAUUUGCUAAUAAACUUAAAGA
rnacentral:tRNA from 1 species